GCUGUGCUCUAAUCUUCCCUGUUCUGCCCUCUGGACAGACCCGGGCAUGAAGAAGGCGUCCCCGGGAGAGCCUGGCCUGGGUCCUUUGGAGUGUGGUGUGCAUGCAAACAUAGGAACUGCUGUCCACUUCCCACCUGGAGCAUUCCCAGGACAGGACUCUGGCUGGAGCAGCUGGUGAUGACUGGGCAGGGUUCUCAUUUCUCAAGCUGCCACGGAUGUCAGGGGAUGUCCGCGCUCACGUGCAAACACAGUAAUCCUGCAGUGCCUGUGCCCAGUGCCAGCCUGAGUAUGGUCACGUGUCACCCAUUUGUGCUGACCGGCUUCCUGCCACACACUGUCUUCAGUCAUGGUUGGAGGGAGCAGCAUGUUCAAACCCACACCCCCGUACGUGGAUCUCUCUCCUUCCUGCUGGAAAUGCCCCUGCAGACAGAAGGCGGUGGGACCAGGGAGCAGAGAGUAAGUCCAGAUAUGGUCUCUCUGCAUAAGUGCCCUGACCGAAGGUUCUUCGAGCAAUGAUGCUGGGCGAUCAUGUGACGCGGGUGGACCGAGGGACCACCUGCUGGAGGCAGAGGGAAGAGGUGUCGGCCGCGGAGACCUCAUGCGCUGCCGUGGUUCCGCAGUGGCCACUCGAGACACACUUCUAAUCCCCCGGUGACGCCUUGCUGAUGGGUCACCAAGUGUCAUCAGUGUAAAUGUUUUGGUCUACUGUCGGUUCACCCCACAGAGCUUGGGUUCCACGAGUGUGGGGGAGGAUUUGUUUUAAAUUAUUAUAUCCUCAGUAAUUAGAGCGGGGCACCGAGUGGUACCGAAGAUAUUUUGGGGAAUGAAUGAAGAAAGGAAUCGGCAGGGAAGAGAGUGAAUACUCCUGAAGGUAUCACAAGACAGUGUUACCGGGACACGUUUACUCCACAGGCGCCAGAGUUUGAGAAUCACGCCCCCAUGGACCAUGGCCCAUUUGGGCAUCUUUCCUUAAUCAGCCCCAGCGGCUUGGGUGGUCUCCGAGGUCGCCCCAGGCUCAGACCGUCCCAAGGCUGCCUGCCUCCUCCAUCACCCCUCAAGUUGUUUUGGAAAUCUCCUUUAUUUCGUUUUUGGGGCAGAGAUGAAGACGGACAGGAAAGCUUAGCCUCCAGGCCCUCCGAUUUGCUUAACCGGGUUCAAAGGAAAAGGCACUUCUCCAGUGGAGUGCUAAGGCUGGCUUGCAAUUGCGUUGGUGACGGGUAAAUGAAAACACUAAAGCAGCCCUUGGUGUUGAGAAAGCCCAUGGGAUCUGAGGGGGGAGUGGGAUACACGCUUGUGGAUAAAACACACUUCCCCACUCCUCGGUCCCUCGGCUUUCGGAGGCGGGAGGCGCGGGGACAGGGUGGCAGUCCCUGUGCUGCCCACCCGCUUCCUGACCAGCCGCAUGGAUCCCCCGCCCCAGCUCGGCUGGUGGGCUGGGAGGGGGUUUAUCAGGGCAAAACACUCCAGCCGUUGGCGUGUUUUAUGGGCUCCCAAACCGUAGCAAGUGGAAGAAUGUUCUUCCCCGACGCUUCCCUCAGGACAGAGAGAGAGAGAAAAAAUGAGGUUGGGAGAGAGGAAAGGCUUUUUUUUUUUUCUUCCAAAAAUUGGAACCUCACUUCAGAUGAAAAUAAUGCAUCUUGAAGGUGGUGAUAAGAUAGAGGUGAAAAUUGCCCUGAUGUGUUUAAGACAACACCUCCCGCUUCUCUCCUGGCGCCCCUGUCGAGUGGAGUGGAGACGGUGUGCUCUGCUGAUUGAGAAAACCCUGAGUCGGCAACAUAAGCUGUCUUUAAAACAUGGUCUCUGAGAACAUUA